rnacentral:rRNA from 1 species
AUUGAACGCUGGCGGCAUGCCUUACACAUGCAAGUCGAACGGUCACGCGGGUCAACCUUGCGACGAGUGGCGAACGGGUGCGUAAUGCAUCGGAACGCGCCCAGUAGGGGGGGAUAGCCCGGCGACAGCCGGAUUAAUACCGCAUACGACCUCCGGGUGCAAGCGGGGGACCGGAAGGACUAGCCCCGUUGGAGCGGCCGAAGUCGGAUUAGGUGGGUGGUGGGGUAAAGGCCUACCAAGCCGACUAUCCGUAGCUGGUCUGAGAGGACGACCAGCAGCACGGGGACUGGGACACGGCCCAGACUCCUACGGGAGGCAGCAGGGGGGAAUUUUGGGCAAUGGGGGCAACCCUGAUCCAGACAGGCCGCGUGCGGGAAGAAGGCCUUCGGGUUGUAAACCGCUUUUGGCGGGGAAGAAAUCUUUCGGGCUAACACCCCGGGAGGAUGACGGUACCCGAAGAAUAAGCACCGGCUAACUACGUGCCAGCCGCCGCGGUAA